CACGUAGGGAGCAAGCGUUGUCCGGAUUUAUUGGGCGUAAAGGGCUCGUAGGCGGUUUGUCGCGUCGGGAGUGAAAACACGGGGCUUAACCCCGUGCCUGCUUCCGAUACGGGCAGACUAGAGGUAUGCAGGGGAGAACGGAAUUCCUGGUGUAGCGGUGAAAUGCGCAGAUAUCAGGAGGAACACCGGUGGCGAAGGCGGUUCUCUGGGCAUUACCUGACGCUGAGGAGCGAAAGUGUGGGGAGCGAACAGG
rnacentral:rRNA from 1 species